UUUAAUUAAUCUUGGUUUUCAUAUUCACACGUACUAUGUCGUCAUUUCCUAUAGGUUUCUAAGAGAUAGAUGAUAUAUUUCUGGAGUUCGAUGACGUUCUAAAUAAUAAUAACGUGGGAUCAUCCUCAGUGGGUGACACUUCAUAUUAGUCUCGUUACUUUGAUGAUAAUUGUGAACAUAUAAAGUUGUGUUUCUGAUAGCCUUUUGUUUCUUAGAUGGGGCCCAAACCACUCUUCCUAAGAGAGACAUCAACACUCUCGAAAUAUGGAGUUUAAGAGAUACAUCCAUAAGAAUGGAAAGAUUCUGAUCACCAUCGCUCUAGGAGCGAAAAAGCAAAUCUCUCCACAUGUUGUUUGAUUCAGCAACAUCAAUGGUUGUGUAAGAGAUAUAUUUCCAAUCCGCUAUCUUUAGUAGGUUGAUGUUCCACCAGGAUACAUCAAGGUGGUCAAGUGCGCUCUACAGAUCAAGCACUUAAUAGAUUUGUUGAGCAUCAAAUGCUCACAUCUUUCAAGGAGCUUAGGGGAGACUGUCAUAGAUCUUUUAAAAACUACAGCGACCCUAAACAAGCACGUGCCAACCCAACGCACAGAUUGGUGAAUCGUCGGAAAGAUUGACACUUCAUAUGCGAUCACUAUUUUAGUCGAACAUUUCAGGAGCAAUUAAGGACCAACAAGGUUGCUAGAUAGAAGCAGUCUUAUAAUCAUAGCAGUGGAUCCAAGUCGUUCCUACAACGACAACAUAAACUCAUUGAACAACAAGGUCAGCCAGUGAACCGUGUGGAGUUGUUUAGAGAAACACACGCUAAGAGUGGCCAAUUCGUUUUACAGGUAGUCGUGGAUGCCCAUGUAAGUUUAUGAAAAUCUUUUGUUUUAUUUUCUACUUUUAAUUGUGAGUUCAUAAUUUAAAACUUUUCGUACAUAAUCAAAUGUUGGAACUCCAGUCCCAACCCACCCCAGAAGGUUUUCAAUCACUCUCCGAAGAUAAGAUAUGUGAGACCGUUUUAAGUAGAUGGUCGGGCUACUCAAAAGGUCUUGGUUGGGGCUCCAAGCCCAAGUCCUGAAAGAGUGGAAGUAGUUCUUCGUCUUCAUAUGAGCAAGUACUCUAAAGAGGUUAGCAAACUAAGAGCUAGCCUUGAAAACGCUAAUUAAAUGUUUAAUUGAAGAACAACAAAUAAUGUCAAAGUUGCAUGCCCGACAAAUGGAAGAAAUGAAGAGGAUGAUUGAGGAAAUUAGUCAGGCACAGAGAGGACCUUGAACACUUGCGAUGUUUUUUUUUAACUUUUAAGUUGUGUAAUUUGUUAUCAGUGGUAUAUAUCUAAAUUUAGUUGUAUGUCAUUGUAGGUGUGGAUUUGAAGGAAUAUGGUGUCCGUGGUGAUAGGAGAUAAUGUAUUUUUUUUCUAUUUUCUGUAAUUUCUUCAAUAAAUUUGUAAU